rnacentral:pre_miRNA from 1 species
GUUCUACUCCCUCUGUUCGGAAUUACUUGUCGCGGAAAUGGAUGUACCUAGACGUAUUUUAGUUCUAGAUACAUCUAUUUUCGAGACAAGUAAUUCCGAACGGAGGGAGUAUCUA